ACACCCUCAAGCUCUGCUUGGUGUUGGGCGUCUGUCCCGCCUUCGUGCGCGGACUCGCCUCAAAGCGAUUGGCGGCUGGUACCACGGCCUGGAGUGCAGCAGAAUUGCGCUCCUUGUCCCGGGGUCUGGCUCCCAGAAGCGAACCUUUUUAACUC
rnacentral:misc_RNA from 1 species